CAGCAGCCGCGGUAAUUCGUAGGGGGCGAGCGUUACCCGGAUUCACUGGGCGUAAAGGGGGUGUAGGCGGCUCGGUAAGUCGGGUGUGAAAUCCCACGGCUCAACCGUGGAAUUGCGCCCGAAACUGCCGAGCUUGGGGCCGGUAGAGGGAGACGGAACUGCCGGUGUAGGGGUGAAAUCCGUAGAUAUCGGCAGGAACGCCGGUGGGGAAGCCGGUCUCCUGGGCCGCGCCCGACGCUGAGGCCCGAAAGCUAGGGGAGCAAACCGGAUUAGAUCCCCGGGUAGUCCACGCCGUAAACGGUGGGCACUAGGUGUGGGGGGUUAAUCCCUCCGUGCCGAAGCUAACGCAUUAAGUGCCCCGCCUGGGGAGUACGGCCGCAAGGUUGAAACUUAAAGGAAUUGGCGGG
rnacentral:rRNA from 1 species